UUUAAUUCCUCUUCUAUUGAAUGUUGCCAUUUAUCCUUAUUUCUAGAUGAUAUAGCUUCAGAGUAUGUCUGUGGUACAUUUUCAUUAUCGGGAACUUCACCUGUACAGAGGAAUAUAUAUAGAGCUUUCAUCAGAAUGAAAUGAAUCAUCACUGCUCGUUACUGUACUUAUAUUAUUUGAUUGAGAACUAUCUGAUGAAGUUUCAUACAUCUCUGUGCUGUCCAUUAAAGGCUCUGUUUCAUUA